UGCAAUAUGUGGCCGCGUACUCCAUACGAAGGUAGCAUUGUUGUCAGGUAAAGGAAGGUAAGCUAAAGGACCGGUAGGUAAAAAUCGCUGGAAAGCUACGGCAGGUCCUUUUAACGGAUCAAUUUUAAGUGUCCCGACCACAGCAUGAGUAAGAUAGUUCCACCCUGGCAUGGAAAUAUUUGCGUAUUUGCGAACAAUUGAAUUUCUUCCAUCCGCACCAAUUAAGAGCUUCGUUGUUAAUUCACCAU